UCAGUCAAUAAAUAUCACUGUUAUCCUUUUUAUUUUUUCAACACCAUGAGGAGGAGUCAAUGCAAAUUUGGAUCUCUUCCAUCUUUAUUAUUUAGCUCACUGCAAACUGGAGACACAGCAAACCAUCAUCCAGACACACAACACAUUUUCACUAUGACUUUAACAGCAUGUAUACUGUUUCUGAUGGUAUCACUGAUUUCUGGUGUUUGCAGUCAGACUCUGACUGAGUCUGAACCAGUGGUGAAGAGGCCGGGAGAAUCCCACAAACUGACCUGUACAUAUGCAGGAAUAUCAGAUAAUGAUGCUCAUAUCGGCUGGAUCAGACAAGCUGAAGGAAAAGGACUGGAGUGGGUUGCUUACAUUUCUGCUCCGAGUGGAAGCACUAAAGCUUAUUCCACGUCAGGCCAGAAUCGCUUCACCAUCUCCAGAGACAACAACGUGGACCAGGUGUAUCUGCAGAUGAACAGCCUGACAACUGAAGAUUCUGCUGUUUAUUAUUGUGCUCGAGAGCCACAGUGACACAGGGAGCCACAGAGCCAUACAGAAACCACUACAGACAGUCACUGAUAGAAAAU